AUACGGAGGGUGCAAGCGUUAAUCGGAAUUACUGGGCGUAAAGCGCUCGUAGGCGGCUUGUAAAGUCGGAUGUGAAAGCCCUGGGCUCAACCUGGGAACUGCAUUCGAUACUGGCAGGCUAGAGUAUAGUAGAGGCAAGUGGAAUUCCGGGUGUAGCGGUGAAAUGCGUAGAUAUCCGGAGGAACAUCAGUGGCGAAGGCGACUUGCUGGACUAAUACUGACGCUGAGGUACGAAAGCGUGGGGAGCAAACAGGAUUAGAUACCCCGGUAGUCC
rnacentral:rRNA from 1 species